rnacentral:rRNA from 1 species
GGCCGCAGUAUCCUAACUGUGCAAAGGUAGCAUAAUCAUUAGUCUUUUAAUUGAAGGCUGGAAUGAAUGGUUGGACGAGGAAUAUACUGUUUCAUUUAAAUUUAUUAUAGAAUUUUAUUUUUUAGUUAAAAAGCUAAAAUAUUAUUAAAAGACGAGAAGACCCUAUAAAUCUUUAUAUUUAUUUAUUUUUAAAUUUUUUUGAUAUAUUUUGUUUUUAAAUAAAUAAAUAUUUUGUUGGGGUGAUGUUAAAAUUUAAUGAACUUUUAAUUAAAAAAUCAUUUAUUUAUGAUUUAUUGAUCUUUUAAUAAUGAUUAUAAGAUUAAGUUACUUUAGGGAUAACAGCG